rnacentral:rRNA from 1 species
UACGAAGGGGGCUAGCGUUGCUCGGAAUCGCUGGGCGUAAAGCGCACGUAGGCGGAUUGUUAAGUCAGGGGUGAAAUCCUGGAGCUCAACUCCAGAACUGCCUUUGAUACUGAGAAGCUUGAGUCCGGGAGAGGUGAGUGGAACUGCGAGUGUAGAGGUGAAAUUCGUAGAUAUUCGCAAGAACACCAGUGGCGAAGGCGGCUCACUGGCCCGGUACUGACGCUGAGGUGCGAAAGCGUGGGGAGCAAACAGG